rnacentral:rRNA from 1 species
GAUGAACGCUAGCGGCAGGCUUAACACAUGCAAGUCGAGGGGUAUAUAGGAGCUUGCUUUUAUAGAGACCGGCAAACGGGUGCGGAACACGUACGCAAUCUGCCCUUAUCUUGGGGAUAGCCCAUAGAAAUGUGGAUUAAUACCCAAUAGUAUAUUUGGAUGGCAUCAUUUAAAUAUUAAAGAACUUCGGAUAAGGAUGAGCGUGCGUAAGAUUAGCUAGAUGGUGAGGUAACGGCUCACCAUGGCAACGAUCUUUAGCUGAUGUGAGAGCAUGAUCAGCCACACGGGCACUGAGACACGGGCCCGACUCCUACGGGAGGCAGCAGUGAGGAAUAUUGGUCAAUGGACGGAAGUCUGAACCAGCCAUGCCGCGUGAAGGAUGAAGGCGUUCUGCGUUGUAAACUUCUUUUAUCAGGGAAGAAACCACAGAUUUCUAUUUGUGUUGACGGUACCUGAGGAAUAAGCACCGGCUAACUCCGUGCCAGCAGCCGCCGUAAAAC